GUUGAAGAAGACUUAGAUAAUCUUGAAAAAUUAGAGAAGGGUAAGGAAUUUUCGAAAUCGCCUAUUUCUCUGUUGAAGAAGACUUAGAUAAUCUUGAAAAAUUAGAGAAGGGUAAGGAAUUUUCGAAAUCGCCUAUUUCUCUGUUGAAGAAGACUUAGAUAAUCUUGAAAAGUUAGAGAAGGGUAAGGAAUUUUUGACUUGUUUGUUAUUACUCUUGCACUUACAUCUCACAGUUGUAUUUAUUAAUAUGUUAUUGGCUCUUUUAUAGAUUUACAAGGCAUUUGCAUAAAAGCUGUAGUCGAUUUAUAAAAUAUUUUUUCAAGAUCCUUGCUAAUGUUAUCAGGUAUUGUUGCAGGAUUAUCUUUGUUAAUGUUUUCAGAUAUCAAUUUGGAUAUUGAAGUUAGUUUUUAUAUUUUGAUUUGGAUGUUGAAGUUAGUAUUUGGAUAAGGAUGUUGGAGUUAGUAAAUGUAUCUACUGUAGAAUUAUAUUUGCAUUAGAAUGUUUGUAAAAUUGUUAGAACUUCUUUUUGGAUUUGGAUGUUUGUAAUUUUUUAGUGAUACCAUUUUAUUUUGAUUUCUUAUGUUGUUUGUUUAGUGAUACUAUUUUAUUUCUUUA